rnacentral:rRNA from 1 species
CUGAACCAGCCAAGUAGCGUGAAGGAUGACUGCCCUAUGGGUUGUAAACUUCUUUUAUACGGGAAUAAAGUGAGGCACGUGUGCCUUUUUGUAUGUACCGUAUGAAUAAGGAUCGGCUAACUCCGUGCCAGCAGCCGCGGUAAUACGGAGGAUCCGAGCGUUAUCCGGAUUUAUUGGGUUUAAAGGGAGCGUAGGUGGACAGUUAAGUCAGUUGUGAAAGUUUGCGG